GAGAGAGAGAGAGAGAGAGAAUCACAUGAAUCAAGCACCUUAAACCAGUAAGCAUUAAGCAACAUAGCAUAUGGUCAUGUUCGAACAAGAAUCUAUUAGAAUUUUGCAGAGAAGCAAAUGCAUAUAAAGAGAGAAGGGGCAGCUUUUCUGUGUGUGUGUGUGUGUGUAGAUUUGAACAGACCAUUGAGUUCCACUGCACAAAU
rnacentral:misc_RNA from 1 species